rnacentral:rRNA from 1 species
AACGAACGCUGGCGGCAGGCUUAACACAUGCAAGUCGAACGGUUGUAGCAAUACAGCAGUGGCAGACGGGUGAGUAACACGUGGGAACCUUCCUAGGGGUACGGAACAACUCAGGGAAACUUGAGCUAAUACCGUAUACGUCCGUGAGGAGAAAGUUUUAACGCCCCUAGACGGGCCCGCGUAGGAUUAGGUAGUUGGUGAGGUAACGGCUCACCAAGCCUACGAUCCUUAGCUGAUCUGAGAGGAUGAUCAGCCACACUGGGACUGAGACACGGCCCAGACUCCUACGGGAGGCAGCAGUGGGGAAUCUUGGACAAUGGGCGCAAGCCUGAUCCAGCCAUGCCGCGUGAGUGAAGAAGGCCUUCGGUUGUAAGUAC